UGGUGGAGUGAUUUGUCUGCUUAAUUGCGAUAACGAACGAGACCUUAACCUGCUAAAUAGCCCGACCAGCCUUGGCUGGCCGCCGGCUUCUUAGAGGGACUAUCGGCUCAAGCCGAUGGAAGUUUGAGGCAAUAACA
rnacentral:rRNA from 1 species